rnacentral:rRNA from 1 species
UGCUCCUACGGGACGCAGCAGUGGGGAAUAUUGCGCAAUGGGGGAAACCCUGAUGCAGCGAUGCCGCGUGGAGGAAGAAGGUUUUCGGAUUGUAAACUCCUUUUAUCAGGGACGAUAAUGACGGUACCUGAAGAAAAAGCUCCGGCUAACUACGUGCCAGCAGCCGCGGCAAUACGUAGGGCGCGAGCGUUGUCCGGACUUACUGGGUGUAAAGGGAGCGUAGGCGGGGCGGCAAGUCAGAUGUGGAAACUGAGGGCUCAACCUUCAGACUGCCU